GGAUUUUUACAACACCUUGCGUUCUUUUCAACGUCCAAUCAGGUGAUGUGGAGGAGUUCACCCGGGUCCCAGUGGAUGAGAAUCUCCAGCUGGUGGAAAACUUGUUUCCACAACAUCUGGACUUUCUGGAGCUGAGUUUCACCCCUGGAGACUCCGUCGCCGUCGUGAGGACCAAGAAGCCGCUGGACGCUGACACCCAGUGGCUGCAAAACAAUUCUCGGAUUCUUCACAUCACUGACGUAAAAGGAUAACGGCCCAGUUUUUGAAAAGAAGCGUCACCAGGUAACACUGUCGGAGACUUUGCCGGUGGGGUCCGGCGUGCUCCAGGCUUCCGCAAGCGAUGCAGAUGUUACGUUGGAGAACAACAAAGUGUCAUACUCUUUUCUGGUGAGCGUUUCAAGUGACCAUCCAUCAGACGACGUCCUCUAAGCACUCGGAGAACCGUCAUAGUGUAGCCGACCGUCAAUCCCUCUUGUGGCAGCGAAUCUUCAGACAGGCACCUUCAGGUCUUUCAAAGAGCCGCCCUGAGCUGCUGCCCCCACCUCUGAUUCGGUCCCUGGGGGGCCGGUCGCACUUUGACUUCCGUUUGUUUACGCGCGGGACUGAAAUCUACCUUCUUGGUUUUUCCGUGUAUCCAAAGCCCACGGAACCAAGUGACCUUGAGCUGAGGGAUGACGGAACCAUAGUGUUGAAGAGACUGUUGGACUACAACAUCACAAGAGGCUACAGGUUCACUGUGGAAGCUCAGGACCCGGAGGGUCUGAACGCCCCGACCACGGUGGAUGCAACGGUGGAAGACGUUGACAACGUGAACCCAUAUUUUAAUCAGAACGUGUACAACGCUGCCAUCAAAGAGAACCAGGUGAGUCUCAGGUCC
rnacentral:lncRNA from 1 species